CCGGGCAGCAGUUUGCCCACUUCCUGCCCUCGCUCCAGCUGGCCUCCCCCGCAGCCCUGCCCCACCCUGCCUUCAGGGCCGCAGCAGCCCUCCACGUCCCCAGAGGCUCUCUGCAAACGUCAGUCCUCCAUGAGGGCCUUCCCAGUCCCCUGAACCAGGGAGAGCCAUCAUCCUUCCUCCCCAAGAUGCCGUUCCUCUGGUACAGCAUGGGUGACGUGUGUCCUGUGUGACAGCGUGGCCCUUCCAGCCACUUGGCUGCUGUUUCUGCUCUCGUGGUGCUGAGGUGGGGGCACGAGGAGGAGGAGAGGGUGCCCAGGCUGACCCCUUGGUCCACUCCUGACCAGUACAACACCAGGCUCUUCUCCAGGACAAAGGAUGACAACCCUCAAGCUCACAGACUGAUGAGACCGAGUCGGGUGCAGGGACGUUUGUCACGUUGCAGAGUGACAAAGAGGAAGAACGUCUAAGAGAAGAGGUGGAAACCCUGUCUCCGAGGGAUCCUGUCCCAAGCCACAGUGUCCCAGGGUCCAGUGGGCAGUGCCUGGUCCUGGGAAUGGAGAUCUGUGUGGAUGGCUCCCUUAUUGGCCAGGAGGAGCAGGAGAAGCGGCUCUGGGAGCUCGCCGCCGUGCAUUCUGCUGUUAGGUCCCUGUCGGAGCAGAGGCGGACAAAGCUCUCCUCCCGUGAGCGCCUGCACCAGCCCAUCCGUUGGAGUGUUGAGUCUAUGUUUCCUUCUAGCAGCUGCAAAGUUUCUGCCUGACUCCCAGCGGAAUCACUGCUGGAGUCUGGGAAAGCUAUGGGUCUGUGUACGUUGACCUUGGAUCCUGUCCUCUGCUGAACUUGUUUAUCAGGUGUCUUCUGGUGGAGUCUUGCAUCUUCCAGAUGCAGGAUGAGAACAUCAUAAUAAGUGAAUGGAAAGAAGACAGAAGAGUAGAGAGGGGCAGACAGGCAGAAGGACGAGGGAGGAAGGAGGAAGCACUGGGGACUUAAAUGGAGCAAACCAUCCACGCGUGUGUGGUCAUGUCAAAAUGAACCCGUCAUGUUACGUGUGACUAUGUUGCCUGGUCACAUUCGAGUUGCGGCCAACGAUCGUGGAAAGACCCCCAGCUUGCUUGUCACUAGGGGAAUGCAAAUGAAACCACCAGGAGAUCCACUUCACACCUGCUGCGAUGGGCAGACCCAGACAGAGGGCGGCAAGUGCCGGCGGGGACAUGGAGAAAUCGACACCCUGCGCAUUCCUGGUAGGAGUGUCGAGUGCUGCAACCCAAAUGGAAAGCCGUCCAGUGGUUCCUCAAUAUAAAUAUAAAAUUACUUUUGUGACUCAGCAAUUCCACUCCAUGGUACCUACACCAAAGAAUUGGAAAAAAAAAAAUACUUGUCCGUGAGUGUUCAUAGCCGCAGUAUUCAUCAGAGCCCAAAGCUGCAAAGAACCCCACUGUCUGGAUAAGUGGAAAGACAAAUACUGGCCCACAGUGACCCUCAAAGGAGCCACCCUGGGGACCAAGCCUGUUGCACAUGGGCCUUCAGGGGACACUCACAGUCAAACGGAAGCAGCUUCCUUGGGUGAUGAGAAACGUCCUGGAACCAGGGCAGCCGGAGAAGGGCGAGACCAACUUUAUUUCUGAAUUUGGACUGACUGAAAGAAGUGGCAUCACAUUUGAAGGGCACCCAAUCAAUCUGUUGCCCUCACUGCAUGAAAUUGUAUUCGCUUACCACUUCCUAUCUCGCCGGGCGCAGCUGGGCUGUAAGUCAUUGGUGAUAACAUUCUUUAUUAUGCCGUCGUGUUUAUGAACUGUGCCUGGAAAGAGAUGAUAGAAAUAUGCGGCAAUAUGCAAAGGAAGGGGGAGGGGGAGGGGGAGCAAAUGCUAGUUGCCAGGGCAACCGUGGGGCUAUUUUGGGCAUCGGAUUUUGCAGAUGAUGGAAACCAUUUCCCUGCAGUGGUUGGACUCUCCCCUCCCCCUUCCUGGAGGCAAUAAACGCAGAACCGAAUAUUUAGGAAGGAGAUGGCUUAAUUUCUUAA